rnacentral:lncRNA from 1 species
CUUUGCUUAUGUAUUAUGUAUAAGCCUUCCAACAAACAGAAAGACUUGUAUGCAUUAGGUUCAUAGGGGUAAAUACAUUCAAAAGGGAAAAAUUUUAGCGGCUCAUAUUUCAAAUAAAGAUCGCCGCGUGGAAAACUCCUUUUUUGGGGGGGUUGUCCCCACUGGUUUGCGAAAGCAAUGGGAGACUUGCUCCAUAGAACCCCCCCCAGAGACUUUCGUCCCCAGUAUUCUCUAUGGGCAAAGGCGCUCAGGUGCGCUUAAAGUCUUAUUGCCUAUACGAGCGAUGGCACAGGCAGCGCAAAUUGGCUAGCCACGAGUUCAGCACAAAGUCAUUGAGGGAAUUCGUUGUCAAAACUCUAGAAGUAGUUGAUAAGAGACUGAUUCCAUUGCUUGACCAAACUGCAAAAGCUAACAAAGUGGUAGA